UUUCGAAUCAUUCACAAUGGGCGAAAGCCUGAUGGUGCGACGCCGCGUGAGGGAUGAAGGUCUUCGGAUUGUAAACCUCUGUCACUGGGGAGAAAACGCUUUGAGUUAAUAGUUCAAAGCCUGAUUUAACCCGGAGAGGAAGCAGUGGCUAACUCUGUGCCAGCAGCCGCGGUAAUACAGAGACUGCAAGCGUUAUUCGGAUUCACUGGGCGUAAAGGGUGCGCAGGCGGUUGGGUGUGUCAGAUGUGAAAUCCCGAGGCUUAACCUCGGAACUGCGUCUGAAACUACUCGACUAGAGUACUGGAGAGGGAAACGGAAUUCACGGUGUAGCAGUGAAAUGCGUAGAUAUCGUGAGGAACACCAGAGGCGAAGGCGGUUUCCUGGACAGUUACUGACGCUCAGGCACGAAAGCAUGGGGAGCAAAAG
rnacentral:rRNA from 1 species